AAAAAGCAGCCCGUGCGUUCUGGAGGAGGUCUUGGCUGGCGUCUGUGGGACCCUCUGCCCCUGCCCACCCCUUCCCCAGCCUCGGGCGUUUGCGGCGGCGCCAGAUGAGUGAAUUAAAUUACCUAGGCCUUCCUGGAGCAGGAAGACAACCAGCAUGGCAGGGAACCUGGGCCUGCGCCUUUGGGGUCUGGUGCUGGCCUGCCCCGCCCUGCCUAGAGCUGGGGACCUUGUGGAGCUGCAGCAAGGCAGAAGAGGUGGGAUGCUGCUGCCCGGCGGUGUACGAGGAGGUCCUGGUGUGCGGUGGGGACGCAGGCAGGUGGAAAAUGGGUAGCAGAGUCAGGGAGUGGUUGGGAAGUAGGGCACAAAAGGGAGAAAGAGGGAGCGGGAAGCCAAAAGCCUACAGCACCUUGUAUUCCCAGGCGGUCUCUCUUCCAAGUACUGAACCAGGCCCCACCCUGCUUAGCGUCACAGGCCAGAGAUCAGGUGUCUCAGGGCGGUAAGGCCUUAGACACCCGCAGUGAUACCUGGCUGACACAAGAGCCUGGCCCACCAUGCCCGCCAGACUCCAGGCAUUACCGCCACUCCAAAGCCACGCGGCUUGGAUCGGGACAACUCUAAGCCACUCCUCGCCUGCUGCUCGGCUGCUCUCCCCCUCCACGCCGGAGCACUGUGGGCCACCGCGCUGCACCUUCUGCCGGCUUCCAAGGGGCUCCAGCCAUAGCAGACAAGGCCAUGCACUGGACCAUCUCGGCGCCGCCCUGCUGCUGAGUGAGGACGCCAGAGGUGUCCAUCCGCUGCACAGACUUCGGGCUCUCUGGACUGGAGUUGACACGAAGAC
rnacentral:lncRNA from 10 species